rnacentral:rRNA from 1 species
GAUGAACGCUGGCGGCGUGCCUAAUACAUGCAAGUCGUGCGAACAGAUGAGGAGGUUGCUCCUCUGACGGUAACGGCGGAAGGGUGAGGAAAACGUGGAUAACCUACCUAUAGGACUGCGAUAAGUUAGGGAAACCGGAGCUAGAACCGGAUAAUAGAUGGAACGGGAUGGUUCAAUAGUUAAAGACGGUGUUGAUGUAACUUAUGGAUGUAUCCGCGCCGGAUUAGCUAGUUGGUAAGGUAACGGCUUACCAAGGCAACGAUGCGUAGCCGACCUGAGAGGGUGAACGCGCACAGAGGGACUGAGCCACGGUACAGAGUCCUACGGGAGGCAGCAGCAGGGACGCUACGGCACUGGGGGGAAGCCUGACGGAGCGGCGCCGCGUGAGUGAUGCAGGUCUUCGGAUCGGAAGACUGUGUUAUUAGGGAAGACCGAAUGUGUAAGUAACUAUGCACGUCUUGACGGUACCUACACAGAAAGCAACGGCUAACUACGUG